rnacentral:rRNA from 1 species
GAUGAACGCUGGCGGUGUGCCUAAUACAUGCAAGUCGAGCGAACAGACGAGGAGCUUACUCCUCUGACGUUAGCGGCGGACGGGUGAGUAACACGUGGAUAACCUACCUAUAAGACUGGGAUAACUUCGAGAAACCGGAGCUAAUACCGGAUAACAUGUUGAACCGCAUGGUUCAACAGUGAAAGACGGUCUUGCUGUCACUUAUAGAUGGAUCCGCGUCGCAUUAGCUAGUUGGUAAGGUAACGGCUUACCAAGGCAACGAUGCGUAGCCGACCUGAGAGGGUGAUCGGCCACACUGGAACUGAGACACGGUCCAGACUCCUACGGGAGGCAGCAGUAGGGAAUCUUCCGCAAUGGGCGAAAGCCUGACGGAGCAACGCCGCGUGAGUGAAGAAGGUCUUCGGAUCGUAAAACUCUGUUAUUAGGGAAGAACAAAUGUGUAAGUAACUAUGCACGUCUUGACGGUACCUAAUCAGAAAGCCACGGCUAACUACGUG